rnacentral:lncRNA from 1 species
UUUUUUUUUUUUUGAUAAAAGAGCUAAUUCAAUAAUAAAAAGCCAUACGGCAUCUACAUAAACAGUCAUGUCGAACAAACAAAAUACAGAAACAAUCACUGAUUAAUCCAUUCUUCUUGGAGAUAAAAUCACGUGAUUUGUUGAAGAUGAUAUAUACACAUGCUUCGUCAUUUUCGCUUCCGCCAUAACCAGUUUGAGCUAUCGACUGAGAAUGCGAUCGCCUAACAACUUUUAAUACUAAAUCAAGCACCAUACUCACACAAACGGUGAGAAAAUAACAAAACUCACACAAACGGUGAGACAACAAGAAAACUAAAACCAAUCGUGACAAACUAGCAACCAUAGACUUGCAAUCCUUAGAUCUGGGGAACAAACCCACAAAAAAGAUAACUCAAGGCUCUUUCGAGAAUAAAAUCACCGAGAAGAACGAGAAAUCCGUAACUCCGUGGAAUUGAGAUCUCAGAAAAAAUGCCAGAUCGAAAAAGGCUUUAAAUCCUUAGAUCCGAAAAAACAAACUAAAGUCAAAAACUUAAGAAAAAAAAAUUAAUCUUACCCAAUAAGAAAGAUUUUAAGGGGAUCAAUAAGUUUUAUUGAAAAAGUGAAAACAGAAAAAUAAAAGGUUUUGGGGCUUUCCACCGGUAAAGAUCCGGUGGAAGCCCCGACACUGCUGAGAAGAAAGAAGAGCGGCUCUGAAAUAGGGUUUGAGGAGAGAAGACGGGUGGAGUUUUUUUAACUGGACCUGUUGUUAUUCAUGGAUUCAAAAAAUUCAUAAAGUUUUUAAACAUGCUCUUAAUUUCAAAUUUGAUAAAGAUAUGUAAAAAUAGUGCUAGUUAAAAAUGUAAGUGUUUGUUCUCUCUCUUUUUUUCCCAAAGGAUAAGGAAUACACAG